GAUGAACGCUAGCUACAGGCUUCACACAUGCAAGUCGAGGAGAAACGACAUCGAAAGCUUGCUUUUGAUGGGCGUCGACCGGCGCACGGGUGAGUAACGCGUAUCCAACCUGCCCAUCACUUGGGAAUAACCUUGCGAAAGUAAGACUAAUACCCAAUGAUAUCCCACGAAGGCAUCGGAAUGGGAUUAAAGAUUUAUCGGUGAUGGAUGGGGAUGCGUCUGAUUAGCUUGUUGGCGGGGUAACGGCCCACCAAGGCAACGAUCAGUAGGGGUUCUGAGAGGAAGGUCCCCCACAUUGGAACUGAGACACGGUCCAAACUCCUACGGGAGGCAGCAGUGAGGAAUAUUGGUCAAUGGGCGAGAGCCUGAACCAGCCAAGUAGCGUGCAGGAAGACGGCCCUAUGGGUUGUAAACUGCUUUUAUAAGGGAAUAAAGUGGGUCACGUGUGACUUGUUGCAUGUACCUUAUGAAUAAGGACCGGCUAAUUCCGUG
rnacentral:rRNA from 1 species